CCUACGGGGGGCAGCAGUGGGGAAUAUUGCACAAUGGGCGCAAGCCUGAUGCAGCCAUGCCGCGUGUGUGAAGAAGGCCUUCGGGUUGUAAAGCACUUUCAGCGGGGAGGAAGGCGUUAAGGUUAAUAACCUUGGCGAUUGACGUUACCCGCAGAAGAAGCACCGGCUAACUCCGUGCCAGCAGCCGUGGUAAUACGGAGGGUGCAAGCGUUAAUCGGAAUUACUGGGCGUAAAGCGCACGCAGGCGGUCUGUCAAGUCGGAUGUGAAAUCCCCGGGCUCAACCUGGGAACUGCAUUCGAAACUGGCAGGCUAGAGUCUUGUAGAGGGGGGUAGAAUUCCAGGUGUAGCGGUGAAAUGCGUAGAGAUCUGGAGGAAUACCGGUGGCGAAGGCGGCCCCCUGGACAAAGACUGACGCUCAGGUGCGAAAGCGUGGGGAGCAAACAGGAUUAGAUACCCCAGUAGUC
rnacentral:rRNA from 1 species